UCUCCUGCUUCAGCUUCCCAAGUAGAUGGGAUCAUAGGUUUUUCUGAGAAGUCCCCAAGUUUCUUGUGGGAGAACACGCAAUAUAUUUAGCAAGAAGUUCCUCCUUGCCCUGAAGUAUGCCAGAAACAAACUUUGAAAGCUCAUGGAAGGUACAGAGAACUUGUGGGUUUUGUUACUUGGCAACUGAGAUCUGAGCUGUUAAAAUAAGACAUUUGCAUUAUUUUAUAAUUCUAAAAAUGCAAUGCAUGUUAUUUUCUUGUCUAGAGGGGUAACAUAAAAUUAUUUUAGCUUCAUUGUUUCAAAAUCUCACACUUAUUAGGCUGGCUUUCCUGUGCUGUGCUGUUGUGAUUACACAGAGUGGAUACCUCCUGGACUGCAGG